rnacentral:rRNA from 1 species
UAGGGAAUCUUCGGCAAUGGACGAAAGUCUGACCGAGCAACGCCGCGUGAGUGAAGAAGGUUUUCGGAUCGUAAAACUCUGUUGUUAGAGAAGAACAAGGACGUUAGUAACUGAACGUCCCCUGACGGUAUCUAACCAGAAAGCCACGGCUAACUACGUGCCAGCAGCCGCGGUAAUACGUAGGUGGCAAGCGUUGUCCGGAUUUAUUGGGCGUAAAGCGAGCGCAGGCGGUUUCUUAAGUCUGAUGUGAAAGCCCCCGGCUCAACCGGGGAGGGUCAUUGGAAACUGGGAGACUUGAGUGCAGAAGAGGGGAGUGGAAUUCCAUGUGUAGCGUUGAAAUGCGUAGAUAUAUGGAGGAACACCAGUGGCGAAGGCGGCUCUCUGGUCUGUAACUGACGCUGAGGCUCGAAAGCGUGGGGAGCAAACAGG